CCUGAACAUUUUGUGCCAUCUGCUUUUCAGGUUCCUCGACUAGAUUAAUUUAUCACAUCUAUGUCUACAACAUUUUUUUCUAUAUUUGGUCUCUAGAGAAUUUGUACCUAAUUUUCUUUCUUUUUCCUUGUGCUUGUUCCAUUAAAGGUGCCUCUACUCUCAGCACUGCAGAGGAAUUCCAUAAACCUCAGCCAGUAAGAAACAGAACACUUCAUACCUACUACAACACCCAACUGCCAUUACUGAAGCUUACAUUACUAAUAGCGUUACGCUUACAGCUCAAGAUGCUGGAGAAAACAGUCACCAUCCAAGCUACGGGACGUGAUAUUUUACUCGGUGGAAGCCAUUUUCAAAGUUGAAAAGGUGGCCAGUGGGAAAAGAAGGGAAAAAAAAUCACUUUUCAUCACUUCUCAGUAUCAGGGUAAGUACUGCCACACCCAGAAUUCGUCCGCAGAGAUACAGGCAUCUCAUUCCAUGCCUUUCCAGUAGAAGUUUAUGGAUGGACACUCAGCUAUUUAUAGAAGCAUUACUUCACAUCCCCAUUUGUUUGAGACUUCUACAGAGCAUCACUGAUGUACGCUGUGAUACAUUGGAAUAGUUUCUGUAAUCCUUUCUUUCUCUGACCUUUGAAGUACGGUAUGAAAGUUCCCACUAGCUCUUAAUGUCCAUUUUCUAUUUAAGAAUUCCCUGGGUAGUACAGAAGUCACAAACAACCCGAAGCCUGUCUUAACCUACAAACACAAGCAAGAAGAAAAUUUUCUGAUAGCUGCUUCAUGAGCAAGAGCAACAAGAAAGAGGCAGGUGAUUUCACUUACUGAUUAUGUGGACUACAGCAAGUCUUAAUACGUUCACAUUUCAAAAUACAAAUCUGCUUAAGGUUUUUGUUUUUUAAGCUUUGUGCAUUUUCUGUAGUUUUUAGGAGCCCUGAUCCCCUACUGACCUACAGCACAAUAAUCCAAAUCAUCUCGCAGGCAAGCUGUUCUCCAUUUCACAUACACCCUAGCACAGGACUCUUCCAUCUAGCUGUUAUCAGCCCGGUCUCAAUAGCAGCUAAAAUGAAAACAGGAAGCAUUAGUUUCCAAAUAACUAAUGCACCUCUAACCAAAUAGUUUUAAGGCAGUACAAAGCAACAGCUUUUAUAUGCACCGUGUAUAUGUGUGCCCAUAAAAAAAUCUUACUGGACAUGCCACAAAACUAAGUGUAUAGAAUAAUGGCAAAAAAGAAUUCAACUCAUAAAUGCACUGAAUUCUGGGAACUACAUGUUACUUCUUACACUGGAAAGUAUGAAAGUAUUCAGAAAGCCUACAACAAGGUAUACGUGUGAUUUCAAUGCCUUUCCUUAUUCACACUGUCUAAUAUUCUACAUACAUGUUAUAUGAUUUCCAGCAUCGAUCAUGUUCAAGUCUCUGAUCAUGUGAUGUUUAACCUAUUUUCAGUCUAAAUUCAUCCAAUUUGUAAUAUUAAGGCCGCACUCCAUUUUACAGUGCUUAUCUACACAGUAGUUUUCACACAUCUUCAAAAUAUAAAAAAAUAAUAAGAAUAUUUCAGAGCAGAAGAUUUCGAUGUGCUCGUAACUUUUGAAGACAUUUUUCAUCAAGUCGCAAGGUUUUCUGCUCCAUUCCAGUUCAGAAGCACUUUAGGGAGCAGUCUGAGAACACACUUCGUUAGCAAACCGAAUAGCAGCCUGUAAAGUUUGUCGAGCAGUGGUGGAAUAUUCUGCUUACUAAUAACCAAGAGCUACAAAAAUAUACUCAGGGCACGACAUUCUGGAGUACCUUCACGAAGAAGUCCUUCAAGCUAAAGAAAGAAAUUGCUACAGUCAGAAGCUAUUUUGGUUAGGAGUUUAACCUGUUGUAUUCCCACGAGUAUCUGCUGUGUGUUUCCCUAUAAUGAGCUAUCUAAUCUAAACCACAUUGUCUGUAGCAGACAAAAAUACACAAACUAACUUUCAACUGAAAAAGCAGCAGGAGCGUGACUUCUACUUGAUCACAAAGAGCAGCACGUUCUGACUCAAUACA